GUUUAUUUAGCCGGGAAUCAUGGUAAAAAUUAUGGUAGAGUGGAGGUAUAUACAAAUUAUACGAUAGGGACAAUCUGUGACGACAACUGGGACAAUACCGAUGCAAGAGUGGUUUGCGGGCAGCUCGGUCUUCCCACGUCGUAUGCUAGAGCUUUGAGUUCAGCCGCAUUGGGUUCAGGCUCAGGACUAAUUUUGAUGGAUGAAGUUUUUUGUCGUGGAACAGAGAGCAACAUAGCUUCAUGCAGGUUUCCAGGAUAUGGAGAAAACGACUGUAGUCAUAACGAAGAUGCAGCGGUUAUAUGCCAAGGAAGUUUCCUGUCCAUAUUCUUCGAUGGUAACCAUGGAACUAAUUUUGGAAGAGUUCAGGUAGUAACUGGACGAAAUAAGUCAAUCGGCACAGUGUGCGAUAAUGAAUGGGACGAAAAAGAUGCAACUGUUGUUUGUCGACAACUUGGACAUCCUACGUAAAGAAUCACGAUUUUUGAAAUAUUUUUACGUCUACAUUAGUUAUAGUAUAGAUCAAAUGGAGCAAAACAAGCUCCAUAUUAAACGUUAAACAUAAGGGUAAGAUGGUGUAUCGCGGGCAAGUGUCAAGCUUGUACCUUAAGAUCUCAUACACAUUCAUAUACAGUUUUGUAUGUCUAAGUCAUAAUCUAUGAGGCCGAUUGGAAUUCUAAUGAAACUUUAACCAAAUGCUAAAUACAUUGAGAAGUUGUGUCACAUAUGCGUACCUCAAGGGUCUAGGUUUCAAGCAAAACAUAUAAAGUUUGUAUGCACAUUUUGAAAUAUUCUGUACUCUUACUGAAUUGGUUGCAGUAGUCAAACCUAUUGUCCGAGGACAGAGGACCAAUGGUCAAUAGUUUUGACUCGGCAAGCUAGUAUAAUAAAACACUUAUUGAAUGGCUUGCCGGUCAAAAGUCAAAACUAUGGGUGUCUUAUCAUUGUGCAAAUCGCGUAUAGAUGGCAAACUGGUGAUAAAAAUGAUGACGCGCUUGAAAAAGCCUAUAGAUAUCGAACUUUUACCAUAACCUACAGACAAAUAGAUAUUUGUACCAGAACGUUUCCCUUAGCCAAUGACUUAAUUCACUAUUCUAUGAUUCUAUUUUUCACAUUUUAAAAGUGCGCUAUUGCGCCAGGAAAAGAAGUAAAUUUAGUAUUUCCCACUAUAUUAAUUUUCAGGUUUUCACUCGUAUUAUAAGCGAAAUUUAUAAUAUCUUUUUAUUAAGGUAUGAAUAUUGCUGAGCAAAAUGAAAAUUCAGCCAUAUUUAUAUAUGGUGGCAGUGUCUACUGUACCGAUGAGGAGACGCAACACUGUCGAAGGUUGCCCUGUCAGAAUUUUGGAAAUAUGUAUUUAAAUUUAAAGAAUCAUUUUACACCAGUAACCUUUCUUUUUAACACAAUAUCAGGACUAAUGCACGAGCAAUGACUGGUGCAUAUUUUGGCAGCGGAACAGGUAUAAUAUGGCUGGACAAUGUAUAUUGUAAAGGUACGGAAGCAAAUUUGUACUCCUGCUCCAGCAAUACUUUGGGCAUAAAUGACUGUAGCCAUACAAUGGAUGCUGGUGUGAUAUGCGGAUGUAAGUUACAAACUGAACAAUUAGAUGUUACUUAUCCAGAUUUUAAGUUCUUGGCGUUUUAUAAGAUUAUUAUGAUAUAAAGUAGCAAAGACAUAUUAAAAUUUCUUGAAUUAUUUUAUGACGAAUCAAUUCUUAGCUGACCAAGAAACAAAGUUAAUAACAUUUAAAACUGUAUUGACAGGGAGCAAAUUGAAAAUGGGAAUACUGCAUCACUAUUAAUGAAAUGGGGAGGCAUAUAAUCUGCUUUGACGAGUGUUUAAAUGACACCAAACAACACUGUGAUAAUACAAUAAAAAAUGCGUUAAUUUUGACUAUUUUUACCAAACAUGAAAUUAACUAACAUUAAUUUUGAAAUACUAUUAUAGUAAAAUAACAUAUAUAAGCUUCUCUUGUAUUAGUAUGCUUUCUUAAAUUUCCUUUAAAUGAUACAUGCCUAAAUUCAGACUUUUUUCUUCAUAAAAGUGUUUUAAAACUAUGAUAAAAUGUGUGUUAAAUUUUAUAUGCUGUUGUUUUCGUAAGUUCAACUUGUCUGUACCUUAAUUAUUGUUAGAUUUUCAUGUUGUGCGUCCUUUAGCCUUUUAUCAACAAUGAAAUGUCCUAAUGUUAUUCAUUUAGAAUUGUAAUAUCAUAAUGUAUAACAAUAAGUAAAUAAACAGGCUUAGGCAACAUAUUUCUCUAAGAACUUAGGCAAUUUCAGAUAGUCUCCAAGUUCGCCUGAAAAAUAUGGAGGUCAGUGGAAACCACAACAGAGAUGGGAUUAUUCAGGUUCAGUUCGAAGGCCACUGGAUUAACGUCAAAUAUGGGAACCUGUCCUUAAAUGUAUUGGAAGUCCUCUGCCAACAACUUGGGUUUAGAACUGCAAAUACAUCAAGGGAAUCAAAUUAUUGUUAUUAUACGUACAUAUCUCACUUUAUAUGCAACAGUUUCAGAUCAGAACACUUAAUUAUAUAGGAAACUUCUAAAUGCUUUCUUUCCUUUUAUUAUUUUUAUAAAGACAAACCAUACUUAAUGUUUUUCUACUAUUAUCAUUAUUAUUAUUACUUUUAUUAUUAUCAUUAUUAUUAUUAUUAUUUCUGAAUACUUUUUAUUACAGGAAAGUUUACAGGGUAAGAAAUGAAGACUCGCUUUUCAAGAACGCACAAAUGAUAACUUUUGUCAAAUGUGAUGGUACCGAAACCAAUAUUGGACACUGUCAAUUUACAGUGGCAGAAUCUGCUUUCAUAAACAAUCCAUCAAGCUUUGACGACGCCAAUACGACAGCGUACCUUGUAUGCGAACAGACCGGAUUAGGUACAUUAAAAUUACUUAACAAUUCCCACACUAGCCGUCAAAUUAUUGUUCGAAGCGGUAUUCCAACUGAUCUAGUUUGCGUUGCCGGGCCAUCCAUACCAAGACAGACCAUUACAUGGAACCUGACCACUGACUCUAAUAUCACAGAGACGUACCAGAUGAGUAACACAGGGAGAUAUACUACCUCAUCUAGAUUAACUUUUAUCCCUGACGUCGAAAAACAUAAUGGAUCGGCUAUAUUAUGCCGUCUUCAAUCUACAUAUGGCGACGUCAGAUCUGUGUCGGAAAGUGUUCAAAUUUUUUUUGGAGGUAGAGUUGUGUUUCAAAUAUUUUUUUUCACUAUUUUAGACACUUUUGUUUAAAUAGACCAAAUAGAAAACCAUGCCUCAGGUAUGCUAUCAUCUCGCUUGGUUAUGUUUUAUGCUUCCAAAUGAUCUUAUU